GCUGGUAGGCGUCGAGCGGCGGACGGGUGAGUAACACUUAGGAAUCUACCUAGUAGUGGGGGAUAGCUCGGGGAAACUCGAAUUAAUACCGCAUACGACCUACGGGAGAAAGGGGGCAACUUGUUGCUCUCGCUAUUAGAUGAGCCUAAGUCGGAUUAGCUAGUUGGUGGGGUAAAGGCCUACCAAGGCGACGAUCUGUAGCUGGUCUGAGAGGAUGAUCAGCCACACCGGGACUGAGACACGGCCCGGACUCCUACGGGAGGCAGCAGUGGGGAAUAUUGGACAAUGGGGGCAACCCUGAUCCAGCCAUGCCGCGUGUGUGAAGAAGGCCUUUUGGUUGUAAAGCACUUUAAGCAGUGAAGAAGACCUAACGGUUAAUACCCGUUAGCGAUGACAUUAGCUGCAGAAUAAGCACCGGCUAACUCUGUGCCAGCAGCCGCGGUAAUACAGAGGGUGCAAGCGUUAAUCGGAAUUACUGGGCGUAAAGCGAGCGUAGGUGGCUUGAUAAGUCAGAUGUGAAAUCCCCGGGCUUAACCUGGGAACUGCAUCUGAUACUGUUAGGCUAGAAUAGGUGAGAGGAAGGUAGAAUUCCAGGUGUAGCGGUGAAAUGCGUAGAGAUCUGGAGGAAUACCGAU
rnacentral:rRNA from 1 species